AGAGUUUGAUCCUGGCUCAGGAUGAACGCUGGCGGCGUGCCUAAUACAUGCAAGUCGAACGAGGAACUUUUGUAUUCGUACGAAGGUUUCCUAGUGCGAGCGGGUGAGUAACGCGUUGGUGACCUGCCCCGAAGAGAGGGAUAACAGCUUGAAAAGGCUGCUAAUACCUCAUGUGAUCAUUAGGAUUAGAUGCCUAUUGAUUAAAUGGAUUUAUUCGCUUCGGGAGGGGCCUGCGUCCCAUCAGCUAGUUGGUAGGGUAAAAGCCUACCAAGGCUAUGACGGGUAGGGGACCUGAGAGGGUGACCCCCCACACUGACACUGAAACACGGGUCAGACACCUACGGGUGGCAGCAGUAGGGAAUAUUGGUAAUGGGCGAAAGCCUGAACCAGCAACGCCGCGUGCGCGAUGACGGCCUUCGGGUUGUAAAGCGCUUUUUGAGGGGAUGAGGAAGGACAGUACCCUCAGAAUAAGCCUCGGCUAACUACGUGCCAGCAGCCGCGGUAAAACGUAGGAGGCGAGCGUUAUUCGGAUUUACUGGGCGUAAAGCGCGUGCAGGCGGUUCGGUAAGUUGGAUGUGAAAGCUCCUGGCUCAACUGGGAGAGGUCGUUCAAUACUGUCGGGCUAGAGGAUGAGAGAGGGAGGUGGAAUUCCGGGUGUAGUGGUGGAAUGCGUAGAUAUCCGGAGGAACACCAGUGGCGAAGGCGGCCUCCUGGCUCAUUUCUGACGCUAAGACGCGAAAGCUAGGGUAGCAAACGGGAUUAGAGACCCCGGUAGUCCUAGCUGUAAACGAUGUAGACUUGGCGUUGGUGGGGUAAAAUCCAUCAGUGCCGUAGCUAACGCGAUAAGUCUACCGCCUGGGGACUACGAUCGCAAGAUUAAAACUCAAAGGAAUUGACGGGUCCCCGCACAAGCAGCGGAGCGUGUGGUUUAAUUCGAUGAUACGCGAAGAACCUUACCAGGGUUUGACAUAUAAGUGGUAGGGAUCCGAAAGGUGACCGACCCCUCGGGGAGCUUAUACAGGUGCUGCAUGGCUGUCGUCAGCUCGUGUCGUGAGAUGUUCGGUUAAGUCCGCUAACGAGCGCAACCCUCGUCGUGUGUUACAAGUGUCACGCGAGACCGCCGGUUUCAAGCCGGAGGAAGGUGAGGAUGACGUCAAGGCAGCAUGGCCUUUAUAUCCUGGGCUACACACACGCUACAAUGGCUGGUACAAUUGGUCGCGAAACCGCGAGGUGGAGCCAAUCCUUAAAGCCAGCCUCAGUUCAGAUUGUAGGCUGCAACUCGCCUGCAUGAAGAUGGGGUUGCUAGUAAACGCAGGUCAGCACUACUGCGUUGAAUACGUUCCCGGGGAUUGUACACGCCGCCCGUCACGUCAUGGAAGCUGGCAAUACCUGAAGUCGGUAUCCUAACCCGCAAGGGAGGGAGCCGCCGAGGGUAGGGUUGGUAACUGGGACGAAGUCGUAACAAGGUA
rnacentral:rRNA from 1 species